GAUGUUAAAAUGGCGAAAUCCAACCAAGCUCGGGUAAACGGCGGGAGUAACUAUGACUCUCUUAAGGUAGCCAAAUGCCUCGUCAUCAUAUUUUAAACAAGGUGGGAUGCUGGGGAGGGUGAAUCUGAAGCCUCUGCAGGGGCAUAGGAGGAUCCUGAUCCGGUACGCCCACCCCCUUGGAAAGCAAAGCGGUCGGUCACAACACUCCCUUUUAACCCUGGGCAACUGGGGCGGGGGGGGAGUGACACUAAGGGGGGAAUACACUUGCCUUGCCCCCCCCUCGGGGGGGGUAGGGCGGGUUGACCCUUGCACCUAAUUGCACGAAGGGCCUUCGGGUCCGAUGUGCAGCCACCCUCGGCCUGAAACCCCUUACUCUUCCCACCCCCUCUUUGGGGGGGCGGGAAGGACCUGGGAUAGUAGGGCUGUUGGAGGUUCAGAGACUAUACGGUGCUACGGGUCGGGGAGAGGGGGGGGUCUAUUUCGGGGGCGGGGGUGGGCCUUUCAGGCUUGCUUUUGCCUUCUGAUUCCCCUUUGACCUGACUCUACAAGAAAUAGUCCAUCGCCAGGGUGGGAGGGGCUGUUGUGCGAGUGGCUUGCACUGCUGUGAUAGGGGGGGGUAUCCCCCCCCUUGAUCGGCGGGAGCAUUGGCCAGCGGCACCGGCUGCCCGAUUCAGAUGUUAAUUUGUGACGCGCAUGAAUGGAUUAAUGAGAUUCCCACUGUCCCUACCUACUAUCUAGCGAAACCACAGCCAAGGGAACGGGCUUGGCACAAUUAGCGGGGAAAGAAGACCCUGUUGAGCUGGACUCUAGGCACAAACGCGAGGUGAUUCUAAAGGUGUAGCAUAGGUGGGAGGGCCUGGCCCGACCUUGAAAUACCACCACUUUCGACAUUGCUUUGCUAAUGCUGUAAUGAAUGAACGACCCCCUAUCGUGUCGGCUGCCUUCGGGUGGUCGGCUGUUAGGUAAGGUUAUAUUCUGGAUUUUUCCUGGUUUGCCACGAUGGUCUGGCUACCCUGGGUGAGUACCCUGGGACCGUGAGUCGGGCUUCCGAGUCUGGCGAGCGCUGUUCUCGGGGGAACUAGGGCUUGUUGGGCUGUCCUCUGGUGGGCGUUAAAUGGGUACAUAAGUCGUGUAGCAGACUAUUUGUGUUGGGGAGUUUGGCUGGGGCGGAAAACUGCUACACGGCAACGGCAGUCUCCUAAGGUCCACUCAGAGACGACAGAAACGUCUCGUAGAGCAUAAAGGCAAAAGUGGGCUUAACUUACAUUUUCAGUAGUAAUGUGAAGCAAGAAAUUGAGGCUUAACGAUCCUUAACGUCGGGUGCCAGCCCACGUUUGAGGUGAGAGAAAAGUUACCACAGGGAUUGAUCUUAUCAUUAGGCGGGGUGGGUGCUUACCGGGGGCUUGGAUACCGGGUGAACAGAAUAGGGGAUGGUGCACCGUCCCUUACGUUCCCCACCAUCCUUGCAGCCCCUGGGGGGUGCUUGCCACUACCUACGGAGUCCCAGGGGGAGAAUUCAACUCCCUCUUUAGUCCUCAGGCUUGACGGUAGCGCAGGUUCCGUCGGGUCGCUUACGAGGGCAACGUACCUGGAUGCUGGAAAGGCCCAUACCAAAUGAUAUCGGUACCAGUCGUUCUACGGUAGCACCGUAGCGCAGAGUCGAAGGGUCCUUCGGGACCUGGAGGCGGGUCAUAAUCUGAUAUCAGGGCUCACUAGCAGGCAACAAGGCCAUCCAACCCUUACCGAUUAGACCCCCAGAUGGUGGGGGUCGCUAGGUUCGGGGAGCAACGGUGGCUGCGUGUUUCAAAGACUGGAAGGGUAUGGGUGUCGCUUGUUUGGUAUGCUGAGGGAAGGCUCCUUUUCGGGGGGGCUUGACAUUAGGCUACCCUGGCUUCACUUUAGGAACAGUCUACCCCCGCUAGCAAUAGCGUUCAUUCCGGGCAACCCACCACUGCAGGGUCCGGAUGGAGGGGUCGGGCGGGUUAGGAAGGGGAAGGGUAUCCAAGGAUACCCAGACCCCCGAGUUUCCCAUCAAACAGCUCGGCCUCGGUAACAGGGAACUGGCUUGUGGCCGCCAAGCGUUCAUAGCGACGUGGCUUUUUGAUCCUUCGAUGUCGGCUCUUCC
rnacentral:rRNA from 1 species